GUAUUUUACACAGUGCAUUUAGUUUUUAUUCUUACUUAUGAAAUUGUGUUUGUUUCUUUUAAAAUGCAUAAUUCACAUUAUGUUGUAAAUUGCAUAAAUCAGUGGGCACACAUUCACAUGAAUACACUGGUGAAUAAGGCAGCAUCCAGCCAUAACACUAGGUACUGCUUUCUACAUUAAGCUUCUUCUAUGAUGAUGAUUUUUGUUUUUGUGUCUCAGCAUGUACCUAAAUACCUGUUACGGGCAUCGAAGCCUGCAGUCACAAGCGAUGAAGCAGCUGCACCUCAUCACAGUGACACCAGGAAGGCUUCAGUCAAGUUAAAGACAAGAAAAAGAAAGAAGCGUGCAACUUGAGCUCCUCACACCAAGAAGACUGUAUCGUCUUCAAUAUCUCAGCAGAUUAAGGUGCUCCUGUCAGAGGUGACCACAUGGUGGCAGCAUUGUGUUAGCAGACGAGUUCCUGCCAUAAACAUCAUGUGAAGGAAGAGAGCAGAAGCUUUCUGCUGGAUGUUUCUUUUCACAGUGAAUGUUGUUCAGUAUCCUGUGUAAAAACUGUUGAAUGUUUGUCAUUUUGCCUCUAUUUUAUACUUUUGUAACUGUCAGUAGAUUUAUAGUAAACGUUACUCAAACAGGA